rnacentral:rRNA from 1 species
CAGCCGCCGCGGUAAUACAGAGGGUGCAAGCGUUAAUCGGACUUACUGGGCGUAAAGGGCGCGUAGGUGGUUAUGUAAGUGAGAUGUGAAAUCCCCGGGCUCAACCUGGGAACUGCAUCUUAUACUGCGUAGCUGGAGUGCAGUAGAGGGUAGUGGAAUUUCCGGUGUAGCGGUGAAAUGCGUAGAUAUCGGAAGGAACACCAGUGGCGAAGGCGGCUACCUGGACUGACACUGACACUGAGGCGCGAAAGCGUGGGGAGCAAACAGGAUUAGAUACCCCGGUAGUCCCUGUCUCUUAUAA